AUCAAAACUCCUAGCCCCUGGGCCUGUGUUGUUCCCAUCGAACAAUAUGGCGUUUGGGCCGUGGCGAAGCCUGCCACCAGGGUGCCAGUGGAAACGCCGGCAUCUCCCGUAUUUGGAAAGGUGUUAUGG
rnacentral:ncRNA from 1 species